GGUGUUGGGUUUUGUUGGUUUGUGCCUUUUUUUUUUAAGCAGAGGGUAGUAUUUGUUUCUUGCAGAGUUCACACACAGGGAUAUUCUGAUACUUUCAUUUUCACAGCUCAGCUGAUACCAGGCAUCUUGACAUACAUACAUAGCUAGCAAAAAACAAACCUGUUAUUACACAAAGGAUUACUAGCAUCUGAAAAAUUGUAAGAGAAAAUACAAAAUUUAAUGCUACCAAACUGAAUAUAAAUAUCUACCAACAGCACUUAAUAUAUACAUCAGCUGAGAUGUCCAAUGAGACUGUAAAGAAUAAGAAUUGUGUUGAAUUAGGGAUUGUGUUCAAUAUGAUUUGUGUUGAAAAUAACAGUAGAAUCAUAGAAUAUUAUCCCUGUGUGAGUCUAUAGACUCCUAAAAGCAGGUGGAAUCCUAACUUGAA